rnacentral:lncRNA from 1 species
GUGAGACAAAUUAUACAAGUAAACACAUUAUGAUCGUGCAAAUAAAAUUAUACAGUUAGAAGUAAUAUAAAUUACUUUUCAACUUAGUUAUUAUGCUUUACAUGCAAUAGCAUUUAUUCCAAAUGCAUCGUAAAAAAAAAUUGGUGCUACAUCUAAACUCUGGACAAUCGUGGACAGUGAUGCAAGUAAAGGGAAUACCGUAGAAGUCUUUGAGUGAGGGAUAGAUCUCUGUCAAGUCUAAAAUGAAGAAAAAAAAUGUUACUAAAUUAAAAAGAUGAAAGAUAUUGUAUACGAUAAAGAAGAAAAAAGACUUGCCUUCUUCGCUAGAAACAAGAAGAAUUGGAGAAAGAAAAAUGAUCAAAGCAUAAACAAAUUUAAAAAAUUUAAUCAUAUUUUUCCUUCGUUGCAUGUAAUGUAACAAACCAAAAAUGGUUUCAUCAAUUUAUGCAUAAAACACCGCAUGCCUUAAUAUCAAUUUAAAAGUAUUUACUAACACUUAUGA